GAUGAACGCUGGCGGCGUGCCUAAUACAUGCAAGUCGAGCGAACAGACGAGGAGCUUGCUCCUCUGACGUUAGCGGCGGACGGGUGAGUAACACGUGGAUAACCUACCUAUAAGACUGGGAUAACUUCGGGAAACCGGAGCUAAUACCGGAUAAUAUAUUGAACCGCAUGGUUCAAUAGUUAAAGACGGUUUUGCUGUCACUUAUAGAUGGAUCCGCGCCGCAUUAGCUAGUUGGUAAGGUAACGGCUUACCAAGGCAACGAUGCGUAGCCGACCUGAGAGGGGGAUCGGCCACACGGGAACUGAGACACGGUCCAGACUCCUACGGGAGGCAGCAGUAGGGAAUCUUCCGCAAUGGGCGAAAGCAUGACGGAGCAACGCCGCGUGAGUGAUGAAGGUCUUCGGAUCGUAAAACUCUGUUAUUAGGGAAGAACAAAUGUGUAAGUAACUAUGCACGUCUUGACGGUACCUAAUCAGAAAGCCACGGCUAACUACGUG
rnacentral:rRNA from 1 species